AGAUGAGAGCUGUGGUUUUUGUGCUGACACUGUAUCCCUUUUGUUGCGUCUUCAUGGCACCAUGCCUCAAGUUGAGCAUGAGUCAAAGCACUUCAAUAAAGCAGUGCCGGUGCUGAAGAGGGGCCUCGCAGGACUGGAUGACACACCAAUUAACCAAGCAUGUCGAGCCAGCCUGCUCUGCGCCUCAGACUCAGGAGACUAGGAGGGAAGCUGCAAACAAAGGCAGAAAGAGCGGGGGACAAAGUGAAAAGAGCAAGUGUGUGCUGGAGAGGACCUGCAGUCUGGCUCCUGCAGAGACAUCUAUCAGGACGCCAACCCCACUGAGAUGACAACAUCUGGAGGAGACCCACUUUAUCCCAGGAGCAGAGGCUGCUGACCUGAGAGAAGACGGGACAGAUAAAAAAUAGUCUGAUAUUAAAGGUUCUUUGCU